CCAGACUCCUACGGGAGGCAGCAGUGGGGAAUUUUGGACAAUGGGCGCAAGCCUGAUCCAGCUAUUCCGCGUGUGGGGUGACGGCCCUCGGGUUGUAAACCACUUUAGUAGAGAACGAAAAGGAGCUAUCGAAUAAAUAGCUCUGCUGACGGUACUCUAAGAAUAAGCAUCGGCUAACUCCGUGCCAGCAGCCGCGGUAAUACGGAGGAUGCGAGCGUUAUCCGGAUUUAUUGGGUUUAAAGGGUGCGCAGGCGGAAGAUCAAGUCAGCGGUAAAAUUGAGAGGCUCAACCUCUUCGAGCCGUUGAAACUGGUUUUCUUGAGUGAGCGAGAAGUAUGCGGAAUGCGUGGUGUAGCGGUGAAAUGCAUAGAUAUCACGCAGAACUCCGAUUGCGAAGGCAGCAUACCGGCGCUCAACUGACGCUCAUGCACGAAAGUGUGGGUAUCGAACAGGAUUAGAUACCCCAGUAAG
rnacentral:rRNA from 1 species